rnacentral:rRNA from 1 species
CUACACCCGAUCCCACCUUUCGGCGGCUCCUUCCUUACGGUUAGGCCACCGGCUUCGGGUGUUACCGACUUUCGUGGUGUGACGGGCGGUGUGUACAAGGCCCGGGAACGUAUUCACCCCGGCGUGCUGAUCCGGGAUUACUAGCAACUCCAGCUUCAUGGAGGCGAGUUGCAGCCUCCAAUCCGAACUGAGACCGGCUUUAUGGGAUUCGCUAAACCUCGCGGUUUCGCAGCCCUUUGUACCGGCCAUUGUAGCGUGUUUGCAGCCCUAGACAUAAGGGGCAUGAUGACUUGACGUCAUCCCCACCUUCCUCCGAGUUGACCCCGGCAGUCUCCUACGAGUCCCCACCAUUACGUGCUGGCAACAUAGAAUAAGGGUUGCGCUCGUUGCGGGACUUAACCCAACAUCUCACGACACGAGCUGACGACAGCCAUGCACCACCUUCAUUGAGCCCCGAAGGACACCACAUCUCUGUGGCUUUUCCCAAUGAUUUAACCUAGGUAAGGUUCUUCGCGUAGCAUCGAAUUAAGCAACACGCUCCGCUGCUUGUGCGGGCCCCCGUCAAUUCCUUUGAGUUUUAGUCUUGCGACCGUACUCCCCAGGCGGGGCACUUAAUGCGUUAGCGACGGCGCGGAUCUCGUUGGUUAGAGACCCACACCUAGUGCCCAUCGUUUACGGCGUGGACUACCAGGGUAUCUAAUCCUGUUUGCUACCCACGCUUUCGCUCCUCAGCGUCAGUUUCGGCCCAGAGUGGUGCCUUCGCCAUCGGUGUUCCUCCUAAUAUCUGCGCAUUUUCACCCGGCUAACA